rnacentral:rRNA from 1 species
GAUUUGCCGACUUCAAAUGGGUAUCUCAUAGUUGAAGCAAAUGGUGGUCUGAAUCAACAGCGUCUUUCUAUCUGCGAUGCAGUUGCUGUGGCCAGCUUGCUUAAUGCAACUCUUGUGAUCCCAAUAUUUCAUUUGAAUAGCAUUUGGCGCGAUCCUAGCAAAUUUAGUGAUAUUUUUUAUGAAGAUCGCUUUAUCGGGACACUCAGGAAACAUGUAAGAGUUGUGAAGGAACUCCCAAAAGAUGUUCUGCUGCGUUUCAAUCAUAAUAUAAGCAGCAUACCAAAUAUGCGAACUAAAGCCUACUCAUCCCCAAAUCAUUAUGUUCAGAAGGUGCUUCCGAAAUUAAUGGAGUUAGGGGUUGUGCGCAUCGCCCCAUUCUCAAAUAGAUUGGCUCAGUCAGUUCCAUCGAAUAUCCAGGCCUUGAGGUGUUUGGUAAACUACGAGGCUCUGCGGUUUGGUGAACCAAUAAGGGUUCUUGCAGACGAUAUGGUUGUUCGAAUGAUGAAAAAGAGUUCUUUGGCUGGUGGGAAAUAUGUCUCGGUGCAUCUCCAUUUUGAAGAGACUAAAAUUUGCGCACACUGUUUAGGAUAUAGUGGCCGGAAGGAGAAAAUUGAAAUGGAAAAUGCCCGUGAAAGGAGCUGGAGAGGGAAGUUUCACCGACCUGGUCGAGUUAUCAAUCCCGAGGCAAACAGAAGGGAUGGGAAAUGCCCACUUACUCCUCUAGAGGUUUGUAUGAUGUUGUGAGGCAUGGGGUUUGACAGUACAACCUUCCUCUACGUUGCCUCCGGUAAAAUAUACAAUGCUGCAAAAUACAUGGCUCCCCUUUGCCAGAUGUUCUCUCUUUUACAAACCAAGGACACUCUUGCAUUGUCUGAAGAGCUUGCUGAGUUUGAGGGGUACUCUUCUCGGUUAGCAGCAUUAGAUUACACCGUCUGUGUUCAGAGCGAAGUGUUUGUGACGACUCAAGGGGGGAACUUCCCUCACUUAUUGAUGGGACACGGGCGUUACCUGUUAGGAGGGAAUGCAAAAACAAUAAAACCCGACAAACGGAAGCUGGUCUUAUCUUUUGAAGACCCAAAUAUCAGAUGGAGUCGAUCCAAGCACCACAUGCUGGAAAUACUGCAGCAUAGUGACAUAAGGGGCAUCGCAUUUAGGAAACCUAAUGAUUCCAUAUACACCUUCCAAAUGCCUGAUUGCAUGUGCCAACAAGAUGGAAUAUGA